rnacentral:lncRNA from 1 species
AUCCAUAUGAAAGGUUUGAUAAAGUGAAGUCAUCUUGAGUCACCUGAAGCUAUUUUGGAAGCAAUUCUCUGGAAACAGCUUCAGGAGGCAGGGGACUGGAACAGCAGAUCAUUUCAGGGUCUGAAAUGAUCAGUUUGAUUUUCUUGAAUUUUUCUUUGCUGUAAUCAGGAUCUUCAGGGGGUUUCUUUCCCUGUCAAUUCUGAUCCAUAAUACUCUGGAAGGGUUCCAAAGCCUUCUCCCCUUUUCUGUCAAUACAUUCCCUUCUCUCUCUGAAAAUACCAUGUCCAUUAACACAAAAUCAUUAAAGGUAGAUAUUGAAUUAAUUUAAUACCUUGAUCCCUUCCCCAGAGAAAUAGUAAUAUAACCAAGAAACUCAUAAGCAUAUGAAUUUUGAUAAUUUAAAAUUUCAAAGCAAUUAACACAAUCUAAAUAUUGUUAUUUGCCUGACUUAUCCCCCGCUCUCUGACCUACAUGAGAUCAGCGCCCAUAUCAAUUCAUCCAUGUAUUUAACUUCAAUUGCAUUCCUUUCUAUUUACACUAUGAGCCUCUUUCCAGGCUGUCAACUUGUCAUACCUGACUGAAAAAUCCCAGAAAUCCUGUGUAGACCGUGUUCAAAGAUCCAACUAUUAUUUGCCCUGGCAUAGACCUUUUUUGAAUUUUCUUUAAAGCAUUUUUCUCAAUCAAUCUACCUUCUACUUAUCUGUCUUUGUUUCCUAUAUUUAUGAUCAAAGGACUAAAUUUCUUUAUUCCAUGUAUAUUUUAAAACAUUUAAACAGGUACUAUUAUGUUUCCUUCUAUCCUUAAAAACAAUUAAAUCAAAAUUAAUUUAUCUCUCUCCUUGGAUUAUCUGCUUGUUGGAGGUCAGCAGCCUGUAUUGUCCGUCUCUCUCUGCCUUCCUCUGAGCAACCUGUCUAUUUGCACAGCAGGGACUCCCAGCAUAUCUAAAGCCCAAACUUUUUGUAUAGGUUUAAACCACUGGAAGAAUUCCCACAUGUCUUGGGCUAGCCUUCUGAGAAUCCAAUUCUCCCCUCCUUCUAAUCUUAUAUCAUGGUGAGUAUAUUCCAUCCAAGAAUCUGUAAAUAAGUUUUAAUAGUGAGUUCUUGCUCCAUAUUGGGUGCCAUCUGUAGCAGUGAAUUGCUAAUUUACUUCAUCUCUUGGCUGGUACUGCCAAGUACCACUCUCUCAAGAGCUUUGGAUUCAUGAAUGAAAGACACACACAUGUCAGAUUAAUUUUUAAUAUGCCUAAGUAGCUCAAUGACUAGCACUUCUAAUCCUCCUGGUGGCUAGCACACACUCCUCUCAUUCUUCUUGAGUUAAAAUUUUCCAAAUCUACUUAUAAUCUUUGGUUCACCAGACCCAAGUGAGGAAGUAGCCCUUUGGGCUGCUAUCCCAGAUACUUAUAUGCGGGCAUGACUUUGAUUCUGAUCACUCCCCCCCCCCAUCAUGACAAUUCUGUCUAUCUUUGUUCUCCCCCCCCCCCAUUCCCUUGCUUGCACAAUCUAACAGUCCCACCUACAUCCACCUGCCCAGCCAUUGGCUGUACAGCAAUUCUUAAUUACCACCAAUCAAAGCCAGCUGGAGGCAGGGCCACUCAGCAUCUGGAAGCAUGGCUUUUAGGAGCCAAAUUAAGACACAGCAUUGUAACAAAUCCCCAACACAUGCACACAAGCAGAGUCUUUGAACCCUCCAAUGGGUUCACUUUGAAAGAGAGCAGUUGGUACCAGCGUGAGAAUCUGCUAUAGACAUGCCCGGUUUUUCCAGAUACCUUAUAAUUAAUGAUGCUCUAUUCAAGCUUUGAGUUUGUUUGUUUGUUUGUCUUCAUACAAGUUGAUGGCUAAGGAUAAUUUAGGAAAUGAAAAUGUCAUUAUUAUGAAGAAAUACUGAUCUGACUCUACUGUUUUCUAGAAUGUAUCUUUUUUUUUCUAUCUUUAUUUUUAUUUUAUAUACAUUGGUGUUUUGCCUGCACGUGUGAGGGAGACAGAUUCACUGGAACAGAAGUUACAGACAGUUGUGAGCUUCUAUGUAGGUGCUGGGAAUUAGCCUGGGACUUCUGGAAGAGUAGCCAGCACUCUUAACCACCAUUUCUCCAGCCCCUAGAUUAUUUUUUUAUUCUCAGAAUUAUAUAGGUAUAUAUAAUAAAAAUGAUUAUUUACAACCUUAAUUUUCCCUAAAUAGCCACCUCCCCCCAGGUCUUUCAAAGCAGCCAUCCCCUAAGUCAUUUCCUCCUCCACCUCCUCUUCUUUGUCCUCCUCUUCCUUCUUCUCCUCCUCCUCCCCUAUCCUUCCUCUUCUCUUCCUCUUCCUCUUCCCUACUACAUCCAUUUAACAAUGCUUGCAUGUGCCUGGCUGUGGGGCCCUUUACUGGAGAAUGGGCAAUCUGCCAGUCACCUAGUCCUCAAAAAAUAACAACCCCCAUCUCUCAGCUAUCAAUAAAUAGCCCCUCAGUUGAGAGUAGAACUGUGAGAUAGUAAGGUUUCGCCUGGCUUUUCUACACAGCCAUUUUUGGCUUAACCCUCUCACCCACCCUUUAAUUUCCCUCCAUUCUCUCCUGCCUGCCCCUAUCUAAGCCUUUCUUUUUCUAAUUUUAAAAAAUAUUUAAUUUAUCCGGGCAGUGGUGGUGCACACCUUUAAUCCC